rnacentral:rRNA from 1 species
AUAUCAAUAAGCGGAGGAAAAGAAACCAACAGGGAUUGCCCUAGUAACGGCGAGUGAAGCGGCAACAGCUCAAAUUUGAAAUCUGGCCCCAGGCCCGAGUUGUAAUUUGCAGAGGAUGCUUUUGGCAAAGCGCUUACCGAGUCCCCUGGAACGGGGCGCCACAGAGGGUGAGAGCCCCGUAUGGUAUGACGCCGAGCCUCUGUAAAGCUCCUUCGACGAGUCGAGUAGUUUGGGAAUGCUGCUCUAAAUGGGAGGUAAAUUUCUUCUAAAGCUAAAUACCGGCCAGAGACCGAUAGCGCACAAGUAGAGUGAUCGAAAGAUGAAAAGCACUUUGAAAAGAGGGUUAAAUAGCACGUGAAAUUGUUGAAAGGGAAGCGCUCGUGACCAGACUUGCGCCGGGCGGAUCAUCCAGCGUUCUCGCUGGUGCACUCCGCCCGGCUCAGGCCAGCAUCGGUUUUCGCCGGGGGACAAAAGCUUCGGGAACGUGGCUCCCUUCGGGGAGUGUUAUAGCCCGUUGCUCAAUACCCCGGCGGGGACCGAGGACCGCGCUUCGGCAAGGAUGCUGGCGUAAUGGUCAUCAGCGACCCGUCUUGAAACACGGACCGAGGAGUCAAGCAUUAGUGCGAGUGUUUGGGUGUAAAACCCGCACGCGUAAUGAAAGUGAACGUAGGUGAGAGCUUCGGCGCAUCAUCGACCGAUCCUGAUGUUUUCGGAUGGAUUUGAGUAGGAGCAUUAACGCUUGGACCCGAAAGAUGGUGAACUAUACUUGAAUAGGGUGAAGCCAGAGGAAACUCUGGUGGAGGCUCGCAGCGGUUCUGACGUGCAAAUCGAUCGUCAAAUUUGAGUAUAGGGCGAAAGACUAAUCG